UACGAAGGGGACUAGCGUUGUUCGGAUUUACUGGGCGUAAAGCGCGCGUAGGCGGAUCGCUAAGUCAGGGGUGAAAUCCCAAGGCUCAACCUUGGAACUGCCUUUGAUACUAACGAUCUAAAGAUCGAAAGAAAUAAAUAGAAUUCCGAGUGUAGAAGUAAAAUUCGUAGAUAUUCGGAGGAACACCAGAAGCGAAGGCGGCUCACUGGCCCGAUACUGACGCUGAGGCGCGAAAGCGUGGGGAGCAAACAGG
rnacentral:rRNA from 1 species